GAAGGAAGAUAGUGCGCACGUGGGGGAUUUCAUCUGGAAUCCCAGCUUCUCAGUGUGAGUUUAGGGCCAGGAGGUGGAGCACAGACGGGGCCUGUGCCCUGGCCCCCAAGCUCUUUCUGGGGUCCUGGAGUGAGUUUCUGAGAGCCAUAUUGGGUGGUCCUGGGAGGCAGGCUGGCUUGCCUCGUGUUUGUGAGAGUUUUGAGGAGGGGCAUUUGGCCUGUUAGUGGGUGAUGGCAGCAGCCGUUCUGAGAAUAGAGUGUCCUGCAAAGACAAAAUCAGCAGCCCUAGAAUCUUCUAGAGAAGAAUCCCUGAGCACGCUGCCCUUCUGGUGAUUUUUCUGGAGGCCGAGAAGUUCAAGAUCAAGAUGGCAGCAGGUUAGGCGUCUGGUGGAGGCCCACCACUUCCUGGUUCAGAGAUGGCUGUCUUCUCCUUAUAUCCUCAUGUGACGGAAAGCAGAGAGAAGCACACUCUCUCAGGACUCUUAUAAGAGCAGUAAUCCCGUUCAUGAGGGGUCAACCUUCAUGACCUCAUCUAACUCUAAUCACCUC
rnacentral:lncRNA from 1 species